AAAAUAUAUAUUUUUAAAUACAGUAUAGUACAGUUCAGUGUGUCCGAGUGUGUCUCAGGUCUAGUAAAGUGUAGAGAACUGUAGCUACAGAUUGUUACACCAGAUAUUGUGAUUUAACCAAAUAUUUUUGGUAUCUAUUACUGGGAGUUUCAGGAAAGGUACUGUUUGGUGUAGCACAGAUCAUUUUCAACCAACUUUAGCGAUAAAGUCUUCGUCCUAAAUUUGUGGAACCAGGAGUCUCAUAAAACGUCAUUGUCCAGUUGCAGAGGGUCUGUUUGAAUUUAGAAAAUCAUUUUUUUGCUCGAAGUAAUCCGAGAAUCGAAACAGAAAUCCAGCCCCCUCUGACCACAGUUUGUCGCAUUGAACCACCAGACUGUUUGCACAUUUGGGCGAAAGUGUCUGGGAACGAGAUUAAAUCAAACACAACUGACAACACACAUCAACUUCAUAGAACAGUGAACACAUUCAUCUCUCACAAAAAAAAAACUUUUAUGAGUAGGGCAGACUAAAACAACAGACACACACAAGCGCAUAAGUUUUGUUAGACUUCAGUGUGGCUUUUGACCUUAUCAACCAUAGUUUGUUGCUAGAAAAGCGUAUGUGUUUAUGGCUUUACACCCCCUGCUAUAUUGUGGAUAAAGAGUUACCUGUCUAACAGGUAACUAAGAUUUUUCAAUCUUUACUAAUGACAUGCCACUGGCUUUGAGUAAAACCAGUGUGUCCAUGUAUGUGGAUGACUCAACACUAUGCACGUCGUCUACCACAGCAACUGAAAUGACUGCAAACUUAACAAAGAGCUGUAGUUUCAGAAUGGGUGGCAAGAAAUAAGUUAGUCCUAAGUAUUUCAAAAACUAAAAGCAUUGUAUUUGGGACAUCAUUCACUAAACCCUAAACCUAAAUUAAAUAUUCUAAUGAAUAACCCUGGAUUGUAAACUGUCAGGGUCAAAACAUGUUGAUACAACAGUUGCUAGGAUGGGGAGAAGUCUGUCCAUAAAAAAAGUGCUGCUCUAACUUCUUAACAGCACUAUCAACAAGGCAGGUCACACCUGGACUACUGUUCAGUCUUGUGGUCAUGUGCCACAAAGUGGGGCUUAGGAAAAUUGCAAUUGGCUCAGAACAGGGCAGCACGGCUGGCUCUUGGAUGUACACAGAGAGAUAACAUUAACAAUAUGCAUGUCGAUCUCUCCUGGCUCAAAGUGGAGGAGCGAUUGACUUCAUCACUACUACUAUUUGUGAGAGGUAUUGACAUGUUGAAUGCACCGAGCUGUCUGUCUAAACUACUGGCACACAGCUCGGACACCCAUGCAUACCCCACAAGACAUGCCACCAGAGGUCUCUUCAGAGUCCCCAAGUCCAGAACAGACUAUGGGAGGCACACAGUACUACAUAGAGCCAUGACUACAUGGAACUCUAUUCCACAUCAAGUAGCUCAUGCAAGCAGUAAAAUUUGAUUUUAAAAAACAGUUAAAAAUACACCUUAUGGAACAGUGAAGAGUGUGAAGCAACACAAACAUAGGCACAGACACAUGCAUACAAACACACGAUAACAUACACACUAUACACACACAUACACAUGGAUUUUGUGUUGUAGAUAUGUGGUAGUAGAGUAGGGGCCUGAGGCCACACACUUAAUAUGUUGGGAAAUCUGUUGUGAAUGUAUUGUAAUGUUUUUAAAAAUGUAUAACUGCCUUAAUUUUGAUGGACCCCAGGAAGAGUAGCUAAUGGGGAUUCAUAAUAAAUACAAAUACACACGGACACACUCACAUAUAUGGAGGUUAAGAUGUGUGUCCUGGUGAAAGAAGAGGAAGGUCAUGUUUUUCAGGACGUUCUUCCUCAGAGGGAGCAGCAUCAGAAGCAGCAGGUUAGAGCUCUCGUACACUAACCCCUUCAGAGGGAAGUGGUCUAGCUGCUGCAGCAGCUCCAUGUCUAUGGAUGUUCUUCUCUACUGAACAUGUGUAGGAUAUGAGGGAUCGUAAGGAAGAAUGAAGAUUCUACACAAAGCGAGUCAAAUACAAAGUCAUUUUAGUUAAUCACACAUUACACAGUGUCCCUGUCCCUCUUGAAAAACUGAGGGAAAUAUG
rnacentral:lncRNA from 1 species